GCUAACCGCUAGGGGUGCUUGGGAGAAACAAUCCAAGCUGAGACUCCACUAUCGCGGAGAACCGUCAAAACCUGACCUUGGUAAUGCAAGCGUAGGGAAGCGGUAAAUCGAACCA
rnacentral:ncRNA from 2 species